rnacentral:rRNA from 1 species
GAUGAACGCUGGCGGCGUGCCUAAUACAUGCAAGUCGAGCGAACGGACGAGAAGCUUGCUUUUCUGAUGUUAGCGGCGGACCGGUGAGUAACACGUGGAUAACCUACCUAUAAGACUGGGAUAACUUCGGGAAACCGGAGCUAAUACCGGAUAAUAUUUUGAACCGCAUGGUUCAAAAGUGAAAGACGGUCUUGCUGUCACUUAUAGAUGGAUCCGCGCUGCAUUAGCUAGUUGGUAAGGUAACGGCUUACCAAGGCAACGAUGCAUAGCCGACCUGAGAGGGUGAUCGGCCACACUGGAACUGAGACACGGUCCAGACUCCUACGGGAGGCAGCAGUAGGGAAUCUUCCGCAAUGGGCGAAAGCCUGACGGAGCAACGCCGCGUGAGUGAUGAAGGUCUUCGGAUCGUAAAACUCUGUUAUUAGGGAAGAACAUAUGUGUAAGUAACUGUGCACAUCUUGACGGUACCUAAUCAGAAAGCCACGGCUAACUACGUG